UGCGUAGAGAUAUCUUAAUGAAAAUAUGCAUAAAUAUUUGAUAAAUGAUUGCUAACGGGUAGCGGCUGUUAAAGUAACGAGUUCGCCAUACCUUGCGAAAUCCUCAAAAAAACAUCAUUGAAACUGAGGUGAGGAUGAGUAGAUAGAUUUGAUUAAAGGAGAAGCCUUUUUUUUUUUUUUUUUUUUGCUGAGAACUCAGAAAAAUUUUCAAUGGUGGUCAGGGGGUUAGCACAGAGAAAAUCCAGGGAAAUCCUAUUCUUCAAGAGAAUUGGAAGUUGAAGGACAUGAAAGGCUAUAAAUUCAACGCUUGGUUGUCUAGACUGUAGAGUUUUGACAAUUUUAUGUGCUUACCCAUAAAACGAUAGACAGAAUUUAUGAGUGAGUUACUAGCUAAUCUGUCACAUAUUUUUGUAGAUAUUCUUACCAAAUUUUCCUUUGAACACUUUAAUUGUGGACGAGGACCACUCCAGGAAUUUAUAGAAGCCGUGUCAAGUUUGCUUUGCUAUAAUCCUUUUGGUUUGCAAAUGCUCUAUUUUUUCCUUUAAUCGUGAAAAUAAUAUCAUAGGAUAGAGAAGUUUUCCUAUUAGACCUUAUAUUUAGAAAGAGAGAGAGAGAAAGAGUACAAUAUUUUCACUAGUUUAUCAUAUUUGUAAAUUAGCUUUUGAGGCCUUGUUUAUCAUAUUUGGCACCGAAAGGAAUUCUCUAAUUCAUUGUGGUACUCUGUUAGAACAGAGAAGACCAUAGCGUAGGAUAUGUAGGAAGUUCAAGCUAGGGUGGAAGCCAAAUGGUGCUACUGCAACUCAAUCCUUCGCAAGGCUAUAUGUUGUAUAGGGGUGUUUCCUCACUGUAAUUAUUAAGCCUUCUGAUCAGUGGGAUGUGACAGUGAUUUUGGUUGUUGUUUUAGAUAGUUUAUUGCGGGUUGAUUUGUGUUGGUUUGGUCAGAUGUGUGCUUGUUGUACUGUGUUCCUUUGUUAAUAAAAAAUUUGUCCAUCCAAAAAAAACUAAAAAAGUACCAUUUCUUUCUUACAUGAUUGCUUGGCCGCUGCUUGGACUUAUAUGAAAGAACUUGUUAAUAUUACUAAUUGGAUUUUAAUUUGGAGUUAAAAAUUCAUCUAACACGGAACCUUCCACCAUAAUACUUGUUCUUGUGGCAAAGAUGAUGUACCUGUACACGGACUAUCUGAGGUGAUUGUUGGUGUUUUGGGAGGAGGGCAACUGGGUCAUAUGCUAUGUCAAGCAGCUUCACAAAUGGCUAUUAAAGUAAUGGUUUUGGAUCCACUUGAGAAAUGCCCCGCAAGUGCACUUUCAUAUCAUCAUAUGCUCUGAAGCUUUGAUGAUAGUGCUACAGUUCGUGAAUUUGCGAAAAAAGAUAGAUGGGAUGUAUUGACUGUAGAAAUUGAGCAUGUUGAUGUUGCAACCAUGGAGAUGCUUGAGCAACAAGGAGUGGAAUGCCAACCCAGAGCCUCAACUAUUUGAAUAAUUCAGGGAAAACAUUUGUCACAUAGUCAAGGCACCAGCUAAUGUGUCAUGGGAUAUUAGGAAACAUGCUACUGAUGUUGCCUACAAAGCUGUUAGCUCAUUAGAAGGCGCUGGUGUGUUUGCAGUUGAAUUAUUUUUGACUGAGGAUGGUCAGAUUCUUCUAAAUGAAGUGGCUCAUAGGCCCCAUAAUAGUGGUCAUCACACAAUUAAGUCUUGCUACACCUCACAAUUUGAACAACAUUUGCGGGCUGUUGUUGGUCUUCCACUUGGUGAGCCAUCAAUGAAAACUCCUGCUGCUGUCAUGUACAAUAUACUGGGUGAAGAUGAGGGGUGAGCCUGGUUUAUUUUAGGGCAUUGAGUAUUCCUGGGGCUACUGUUCAUUGGUAUGACAAGCCAGAAAUGUGAAAGCAGAGAAAGAUGGGCCAUGUCACAAUUGUUGGGCCUUCCAUGGGUGAUGUGGAAGAACGAUUAAAAUCAAUUCUGAGGGAAGAAGGUUCUGAUUGUCAGUCUGCACU